UUCUCUGAAGUAAUUAGUGUAAGUAAAGUGUUUUAUAGUGAAAUCAAAAGUGGAAAUAGUGUUUUAUCGAAAUCGUGUAAAAAGUUUGUGCGGGAAGUGUUCGUUUAGUGUUAUUUUGUGAAAAUAAAAAUGUGCAAGUGAAAGAAAGGCUUGUUGAAGUAAAUGUUAAAAAACCUGCAGUAAUGACAUGAAAUAAAUUCGCCGUUAAUGCAGGUUUAAUUGAAGUACAAUAAAGGAAGAAAACUGUGGUAUACUUUUGGGCUGAGAACAGUCCAUAAAACAUCAACACUGCAAUGCUGUGGGGAACAGAUGUCCGCCGCCAUAUUAAUCGCCUUCCGUCAGUUCCGUUUAUUCGUGCGCGAGCGUAAGUUGCGUUGAAAUGACGGGUCAUUGAAUCGUGAAUUUUAGUAAAAUUUGUUUUUGUAAAAAAGUUUUAUAAAGUGUAAUCAAUAGUUUAUAUAGUGUUCUAUAGAAAUCGUAUAAAAAGUGUGUGUUUAGUGUUAUUUAACAAAAUUAAAACUGCAUAAGUAAGUGAAAGAAAAGCUGGUUCAAGCGAAUGAGCAAAGGCACUGUUUUACCCACCAGCGAUAAUGCUGUUAAUGCAGAAUUGAUUGGAUUUUAAUAUUAAACGGAUGUAUACUUCUCGGCCAAUUUAGGGAAUGAAUUAUACAACAUUGUUGUAAUCCUUUUGUUGUACCAACCAACACCCACUGCCAUUACUCUAAUUAAAGACAUUUUUUCCAUAAUCCAACAAGCAACAACAAAGUGGCUGCGAGUGAGAAACAGAGAAGCAAAUAAAAAAGUGAGAGAAAGAGA